UUUUUUUUUUUUUUUUUCUCUUCUCCUUCUCACUGUCUGGGUCUGCUUCUCAGCACUGCCUUGUGAACGAUCACCAUCUCAGUGGAAGGCUUUGUCCUUUGCUGAAGUUCAGCCCCAAGUCUGACUAAAAAAGCAUGAAAACUAUAGGCCAGAAAGAGAAGGCAAUUAAAACCAGGAAUGAAAAUACAGGAGGGGAAGUUGCUGUGUGAUCUUGGACGAGUUACUGAACCUUGCUGUGUUUCUUCAUCAAUGAAGUGGAAUCAUCAUGGACUCCAUCUCAUCAGAUUGUUUUGAAGGGGUGGAUUGGUGUCCCUGUGGAUGGGGAGUGAGGCUAGGAAAGGCAGCUCAGCGCAUCUUUGGGCCUGUGAGCUGUGAGAAGUUCCUGCUCCCUGACAGUUGAAUCAAUUCUCUGUCACGUAAAAACUAAUAAAGAAAGAAUGACAAAGCAGCUUAUGGAAAUGGAGCCACACUUCAUGUUCCAACAGGGUUUCCCAAAUUGCUUCACUCCACAAACGUUUUCCAAGCCAUUUGUGAAUGGCCUUAAUUAAGAAGACUGGAAAUGUGUCUCCUGUCUCCUUCACAGGCCCCACCCCAAUGCCGUUCUGGGGUCCGAACCUUAGGGGCUAUUGAAAUGCCUGUCCCCAAUAUGAUAAGACUGUGCUGGUCAUCGACGUUGGGUGUCUUUUCCAACUGGCUGCUGCAUCUGCCCGAUUCACCACUAUCCACACCACUCUGGCUGAUAAAUAUGGUCUCCUGUAAGAGGAUAGGUUGGACCACCAAAGCCAGAGGUAGCAGCAGCAUUGUCAGAAAUACACAGGAAGUCUGUUCCUUGUCCUAAUCCAGAUACGCAUCAGCAAACACGGACUUAGCAGGAAGUCAAGCUUUCAAGUAAAGCCAGUGAAGCACUGAGGGGAAGCAUCAGAAAUACACCCCAAAUUGACUUGGCGUCUGUCGCCUGGGACUGCCUGGGCUGUGAAUGGAAAACUCUUGUAGAUUAAAGGAGGGGAGCACAGGCAGUGGGUGUAUUUCAUACUUACUAUCCUUUUCAGAAUCCCUGCGAAAUGGUUGACCUUAGAGGGGACUCUCGAUGAUUACACCUAAGUCUUUUCAACCUGUUGUUCCUAUUUACACUUGUGCUUUAUGGAUUCCUUCAGGGAGAAGCGUUUUAAAGGAAUACAGAAAGCUUUCCACCCCAGAGACACUCAAAGGUGGCAGCUUAGGCAGAUAGCUUUCAUUUCUCUGUUUGUGAUUUUCCUUCCAGGAUAAAAUAUUUCUUCUUCCCCUAAGCGUCUGGAUUUUGUGAUCUGGGACAUGCUCGGAUUUAACAGUUUGAACUUUUAAAAAUAAUAAUUAUUUGAGGAUAUUCUGCUCUUUUAUCUGUGGGAAGACUGGGGAAUCUGGAGUUACUUCUGUAGCUUUUUAAAAGCUUAGCUUUCUCGAAGUGCUGUUUUUUUAAACUAUCAUAAGUCAAAUUUAUCAUGGGGAUAAAGUAAUAAAGACAAAUAUUCAACCAAUAAUGAAAAGCUAAAUAAACGGGUAUGUUUAAGCUCUAUUAUAUGCAGGGGAGUACAUUAAGGCAGAUCUAAGAGACACUUUAAUGGAUUUAACAUUAGCAAUCAGACCUGGACUUGGUAUAAAUCAAACACCAUCGCAUUUCAGUCUAAUGCACACCCACUCAUUCAUUAGCACCAUUCAACGCAGAUUAUAAAUAUUAGCCAAGAAACCUUCAGUUCUGGAGAUUCUUUCCACAGACACAGCAAUAAUAGAACAAUAAUGAUGACAAUUUUAUUUUUAUGAAUCGCUAUGGCUUACUUUUAUUGAUUUGCUCUUGGGCCUGGAGAAAGCUUCCUCAGCCAGUAUACAACAGGAAGUGGUUCUAGCAUUAUCAGAUAGGCCAUAAAGAGAUAAAUAAAAUAAAGGGGGGUAGGAAUGAUGGUGGGACUCGGCAAGCUGCUGAUAUAAGCAAGAAUUACUCCCCUCACUCCCAACAAUAGAACAACUUAAAUUACCUCCCUUCUCCCUCCCUGCUCCUCUCUUCCAAUUCAGUGAAAGGAAAAUACUCCCAGGCUGUAAAUGUGCAUUAACUUCGGAGCUGAACAUUUUGGGGUUCUUGGUAGCAGCUAGAGGGAAAUGAAUAAGAUGGGAAUAAAUGAGCUUGCUUAGGCAUUGCAUAAAAGGAGGGUGAAACCCCACAGGAAUAUGGCCUUUCACUGCCUGCUUUGAUGAUGUGCAGCUUCUUAGUAACAAAGGCAGUGUAGCCUUCUGAAAAUACUCCAUCCAUGAUUAUGAAAAGGAGCAGGUCUCUGGCUGCCUAUUCCUUCUCCAGAGCACAUGAUGUCCUGACAUUUUCCGUGCACUUUCCCUGCCUUUUAUCUCUCAGAGGCAAUGAAUUGAACAUCCUGGGGUAUCAGUAAGAAGGAAACACUUCUAUGGAUCUGCACAUGUGUUUCCACAGCUGCCAUUGUGUUUUUCCCCUUUGCGGUGACAGAUUUCAGAGGUUUUGUUUCACACUUAUUCCCUCCUAUCCCCAGUGACAAACUGGACUUGUACCUCUGUUUAUUCACUGCAUUGAGAUCUCACCAUGUCUCUUAGUGAAAGGAACAAGAGCAAAUGCAUCUUUGAGGGUCUAUGAGUCUUCUGCAAAUUCCAUACAGUGAAGCAGACUGGCAGGUUUGGUCAUGACAGGGGCAGUGGUAAGAGAAAUUCUGUCUUUUGGCAGUUACUCUUCCAUUCUCAGUGGACUUUUCUUUCCUGGGCAAAAAUUUCUGGGUCAGUUUAUAAUGGAGGUGUGGACAAGCUGAUGCCUAAGAGCUUGUUUCUAAGCUCUUGUUCAGCUUGUACAUUUGCUGUUUCUAUGACUCAUCCAUAUCCCCAUGGAAGAAUGGGAUGUUGAGCUACCCCCAUAGUUAGGGAAACAACCCUGAGCAGCAUAAGCAUAGGAAUAGCUGCUGGCACAACCCCACAUUCUAGUUCAUUCUGCAUGUCACCUUUUUGAUUACAUCUUUAAGGCAAGCCUGCCUGAAUGCUUUAAUUCUACCCUUUCCCCAGAAAGUAAGUUCUUUUGACUUUAAAGUUAAUUAAACUAUAGCUAUAACUUAAUGCUU
rnacentral:lncRNA from 10 species